GGGCCCGCACAAGCGGCGGAGCAUGUUGCUUAAUUCGAUGCAACGCGAAGAACCUUACCAAGGUUUGACAUGCAGGGAAAAGCCGUAGAGAUACGGUGUCCGUAAGGGUCCUGCACAGGUGGUGCAUGGCUGUCGUCAGCUCGUGUCGUGAGAUGUUGGGUUAAGUCCCGCAACGAGCGCAACCCUCGUUCUAUGUUGCCAGCGGAUAAUGCCGGGAACUCAUAGGAGACUGCCGGGGUCAACUCGGAGGAAGGUGGGGAUGACGUCAAGUCCUCAUGCCCCUUAUAUCUUGGGCUGCAAACAUGCUACAAUGGCCGGUACAGAGGGCUGCGAGACCGCAAGGUGGAGCGAAUCUCAAAAAGCCGGUCUCAGUUCGGAUUGGGGUCUGCAACUCGACCCCAUGAAGUCGGAGUCGCUAGUAAUCGCGAAUCAGCAACGUCGCGGUGAAUACGUUCCCGGGCCUU
rnacentral:rRNA from 1 species